rnacentral:misc_RNA from 1 species
UCCCCGUUAUCCGAGGCAGUUUCCUAAGAGUUCCGUCCGGUAUGGACAUGGCAACAUAGGAUAAGGGUUGCGCUCGUUGCGGGACUUAACCCAGCAUCUCACGACACGAGCUGACGACAGCCAUGCAGCACCUGUGCACGGACUCCGAAGAGGAACCGAUGUUUCCACCGGCUUUCCCGUGCAUGUCAAGCCCAGGUAAGGUUCUGCGCGUUGCGUCGAAUUAAACCACAUGCUCCACCGCUUGUGCGGGCCCCCGUCAAUUCUUUUGAGUUUUAGCCUUGCGGCCGUACUCCCCAGGCGGAGUGCUUAACGCGUUAGCUUCGGCACCACGAGGGUCAAAGCCCGUGACACCUAGCACUCAUCGUUUACGGCGUGGACUAC